rnacentral:rRNA from 1 species
GAUGAGGAGCUUGCUCCUCUGAUUUAGCGGCGGACGGGUGAGUAACACGUGGGUAAUCUGCCUGUAAGACGGGGAUAACUCCGGGAAACCGGGGCUAAUACCGGAUAAUAAGAGAAGAAGCAUUUCUUCUUUUUGAAAGUCGGUUUCGGCUGACACUUACAGAUGAGCCCGCGGCGCAUUAGCUAGUUGGUGAGGUAACGGCUCACCAAGGCGACGAUGCGUAGCCGACCUGAGAGGGUGAUCGGCCACACUGGGACUGAGACACGGCCCAGACUCCUACGGGAGGCAGCAGUAGGGAAUCUUCGGCAAUGGGCGAAAGCCUGACCGAGCAACGCCGCGUGAGCGAUGAAGGCCUUCGGGUCGUAAAGCUCUGUUGUUAGAGAAGAACAAGUACGAGAGUAACUGCUCGUACCUUGACGGUACCUAACCAGAAAGCCACGGCUAACUACGUGCCAGCAGCCGCGGUAAUACGUAGGUGGCAAGCGUUAUCCGGAAUUAUUGGGCGUAAAGCGCGCGCAGGCGGUCUCUUAAGUCUGAUGUGAAAGCCCACGGCUCAACCGUGGAGGGUCAUUGGAAACUGGGAGACUUGAGUGCAGGAGAGAAAAGUGGAAUUCCACGUGUAGCGGUGAAAUGCGUAGAG